rnacentral:lncRNA from 1 species
AAAAUAACACAUUAUGGAAAUGGUCUAAUGUUAUUAUUUUACUUGAGAAUACAAUAGUUUUGACAGAUGAAAAUGGACCAGCUAAUUUCAAUAGUAACAAAAGAUAAAACUGUAAAAUUGUCUUCAGGCAGUAGUCACCUCCCAACUAGUAAAUUUCAUCAUCAGGUAUGUCAGGAUUCAAGAAUUUCUCAGGAUCCUUGCUAAUUGCAUCAUAACUAAGAGUAGGUUUAACGCGAUCUGGUACAGGCUCAAGUGGGAUAAUACUAUCUUGAUCAAUAACCCCAUCAAUUAUUCCAUAUUCAACCGCUUCAAUAGGAGACAUAUACCGAUCCCUAUCAAUAUCUUUCUGAACCUGUUCAUAACUCCUGCCAGUGGAUUCUGCUAUAAUUCUCGUCACGUUUUCCUUAUUAUGCAUCAUUUCCCGCGCUUGAAUUUCGACAUCUAUCGCUUGCCCGCUUGCACCUCCGAGUGGUUGGUGGAUCAUGAUUCUUGUAUUAGGCAUUGCAAGACGUUUACCUUUGGUUCCACCACCGAGAAUUAUGGAAGCGGUUGAUGCUGAUAUGCCAAGCGCAAUUGUUGAUACAUCAGCCCUCACUAGCUUCAGAACAUCAUAAAUCGCCAUUGAAGAGCUGUUUGAACCACCAGUAGAAUUAAUAAAAAGCCGGAUAUCUUUUGUAGGAUCUUGAGCAUCCAACAAAAGCAACUGACUAAUAAUCGCAUCAGCAACAAAAUCAUCAAUCUGGGUACCUAAAAACACAAUCCUUUCACGCAACAACAACCCCAUCGCAUCGGAUUCCGCGCCCCUCAUCGCCGUCGCCGGUGUCUGCGGUGAAGACGAUGAAAUAUUGAGAUUUUGUUUGUAGUCAAAUGGUGGGGAGGAGUGAAGUGAGCAUUUGAUGGAGUGGUGCGGCGGCGAUAGACGGCGGGGAGAGAAGGAUUGAAGGGGUUUUGUGGGUGGAAAGUGGCGGAGAUUGGUGGUUGAGGGGUAGUA